rnacentral:rRNA from 1 species
AUGGGAACAUCCUCCUUCUCACCUGACGUCCAGACCAAGUACACCUUCGUAAUGAGGAAGAACAAAGCACCAAACUCACAAGUUGCAGCCAUUGUGCAUCAACAAGCCAAACCAUAUUGUCAGAUCUUCUACAUUUGCAACGAGACUCUUGCUUGCUCUAGGGAGGCCACUCAGCGUUUGAUAAAAGUAGAGUCACCGCAAAGCAACUACACAAGCACUGAUUCAGACCGAUCUGAGUUCCCUGCAAGAUCCCAAUCACUAUCACCGGGGCAUACAGGUUUCUUCGGCUCCACAGAUCAAAAAGCCCUACAAUGA